CAUGAUCUGCGCAGGCUACUUGGACGGGGGAACAGACUCCUGCCAGGGAGACAGUGGUGGUCCACUGGCUUGUGAGGAUUCCUUUACCUGGAAAUUGGUGGGAGCCACAAGCUGGGGGCAAGGCUGUGCAGAAAAGAACAAACCUGGGGUUUACACGCGCAGUCCCUCACCUGGAUACAUCUGCAGAUGGAGAGAGAAGAAAUGCUGCACCCCCCUACAACCAGCUCUACAUUUUAAUUAUGGGAAAGACAACAUCAAGGAACUGAAUCCAGGCAGAAA